rnacentral:lncRNA from 1 species
GAGCACUGAUAACACGACGGGUAUUUCUCCCCCUCCCUUUCACUAUUAACUCACUAAUAUUCAAACCCCGCCAUCUCUCUCUCGUUGGCAACGCGGGACAUUUAGCAGAGAGGAAAAACACGUUCAAAUUCUUUAUUGCGAGGGUUCUCGGAGGGGAAACAAACGAUCAAACAAACCCAACCCGUUCCCAGCUCCUCUGGCGAUUUCUUGCCUUUAGUGCAUAACCGCAGCAUCUCCGUGCGGACGCGGAGCUUGGGAAUGCUCAACUCUAACAAAGGCGUAAGGGAGAGCUUUCUCUGUUACAGACAAAACGAGGGGCACAGUCAGGAGGGUGCGUGUCUCCUGCAGAAAUGAGCCUGGUACGUUCACCAAAGGCUUUUUCUCCCUCUUUCUCUCUCCUUUUUUUUUUUUUUUUUUUCCUUUCUUUCUUUUGCUUUUCGGGCAUCAUAUUUUUUUUCUCGACCGCAGUGAGCAGCCAGCAGGCUGCCUGGGAACCUUACAGAAUCUGAGCUCACAGAGAGUGCAUUCGAUGGGUCCUCCCGCGCGGAGUGGUCCGGGAGAUCGGCCCUAAAAGGAGAAGGAAAGGAGAAGUUAGAGCCCGCGACACCCAAAGGCCGCACGAAUCACUGGGGGAGGGAUCGCACCCUCCUCUCGGUCCUUUUCGGGGGCGGCGAGGGGACGCAGAGGACGAUCUUUUCUGUUCAAACCCUUCCCGCGGGGCGACCCAAAAGGGAAAGCUAUUACUCCCGAGCUGCGGUUUCCUCGAGGAGAGCGGGGCCUGGGAAUGGCACAGCGCUGCCCGUCCGUGCGCGGAGAGCCGUCUCGCAGCUCUGCACCGCGUUGUGGAGCCGGGAUGCGUGGGUUAUAGCUGGAAGGGCUGAACGCAAUUCUUCCUAAAGUCAUAAAUCAAACGCUUUCUAUGAAUGAGAAUGUCAUCAAAGAGAUCAAUUGCAGGAACACAUGCACAAAUAAAAAUCCUCUUACGUAUUUGCCGGGGCUGGGGAUCCCCGUCUAAAACCAUUAAGUGAGAAGGCGUUUAGUCAUAAUUCAUUUUUAUUGCUCCUUUAAAACAACAGCUUGGCUGAGCUGCGGCCGCGGCGAAACCCCGGCCCUGCUCCUGCCCUCCUCCCGCUGCAGCCCUGCGCGGGGCGGGCGGCCCCAGCGGCCCCGCGCCUCUUUGGCACGGGCCGAACCGGGCUGCGGUGCUCAGAGGCAUUUUGUGGUCGGGUGUCUGCGUGCCGCCAACGCUUUAAAAAAUAAUAAUAAUAAAAAUAAUAAUAAAAAAAAAAAAAAGAAAGAGAGGGAAAAAAAAAAUCCCCGACAAGAUUUCAAGUUUUCGCCGACUCGAUUGAAAUAAACGUGGGGGUGCAGCUCUCAGGAGUCGCCUCAAUUCCUCUCCAUGAGCCCCGGGGCGCUGCGGGGGGAGAACUCCCACGCCAAAGCUGAAAUGGGCGGAAUGGCCCCUUGGGCCCCACUCUCGGACAGGAAACGGCGAUUACCGGCCCCGGCCCGCAGCGGAGCCGCCGAGGGGCAGCGAUCGCCCCCGGCCCUGCAGCCACUGCCCCUCACGCACAGAACCGGCAGCGAAAACCCAAAGCAUCGCGAGAGACAAUGCAACAAAAGGGAUGGGGGCUGCUCCCAACAAUGGCACAGAAAAGGGGGGGAAAAAAGGAUUACGUGAUGCUGGAGGCUGCAAGAGAGGUGCUGUAAUUUGCUCCAUUUGCAGAGAAAUGCAUAUUUUUUUCUUCGAAGCCUGCUGUUGUAAAAAUAAAAGGCACUGAAAGGAUGCCAGCUCUUUUAUUGGUAAACAGUCCCAGCGGCCCUCCUUCUUGCUCUGCCUUAUGCUGUAUUUAUCACAACAGGUUUACGGGAAUGAAACGAAUGUGCUUCCGUCCCUUACCGCAGCCCACACUGAUGCGGUAUGAUGCCAUAAACGCCCCCGGAGUGCCGUUGCUGUUGCUCUCCCCACGACCCCUCCUCCCCCCCAGAGUUUAAGAAACGGAACCUUUCCGGAGGGCCCUCAGCCACCCGUGCCUGCGCGGUAAAUCAGAAUAAACAGAAAUCCUAAGAGCGGCCCUUCAGCUUUUGCUGCCCGUCGAGAGGCCUUGGGGAUGGCGUGGGGUAAGGGCUGACCUAAGAGCAGCGGGAGAGCCCGCACCUCGGGGAGGUUGUUGUGGUUCGGAGGGGAGGGAGGAGCUUGCGGGUGAGUGAGUGUGUGCGUGUGUUGGUGAGCAGGGAGAGGUGGCAGGGCAGAGGGAAGCCUUUGGGAUUUCAAAGCAAGCAGCAGCGAGCACACAACGAUGGAAGAGACGGCCGGGAGUGCACCUGCAGCGGCGUAGGAGGCGGCUCCUCCCGGGGCCGGUGCUGAGGAGCAUUGAGUGCUGGUGCCAGCCCCUCUCCCUGAAGAUAGAUGAGAGCCCUGGGACGGAUGGAUGCCCGCUCUUUGCAUCCCCUUUCUCUUUCCGCAUAUGUAAACAGAAUAUGAGGUCGCAACCCGCGUCCCAUCGCCCCCCGUCCUUUUCUUUCCACGGACCCUUAUAUGUAUUUUAUUUACCCGUGGAUGGGGGUGGGGAAGGGCAAGCUUAAACCGAUGCUCGGCGCGGUUCCCAAGGGUCCUGGGGCCGCCUCUGCCACCGGCCAUCUGCCACCUCCCACCACUGCCGGCCUGGGCGGUGGCGAAGCGCGGGGACAAAAGGGUCGGUCUGAGGGUCCUGCGUCUCCUGCCUCUCUCCGGGCCCUGCCCCGGGCCGCCUCCCCGGGCUGCGACCUGCGGCAAGCUGGGCACCCUUCCCCCGCCCGGCCCGCCG